rnacentral:rRNA from 1 species
GAUGAACGCUGGCGGCGUGCCUAAUACAUGCAAGUCGAGCGAACGGACGAGAAGCUUGCUUCUCUGAUGUUAGCGGCGGACGGGUGAGUAACACGUGGAUAACCUACCUAUAAGACUGGGAUAACUUCGGGAAACCGGAGCUAAUACCGGAUAAUAUUUUGAACCGCAUGGUUCAAAAGUGAAAGACGGUCUUGCUGUCACUUAUAGAUGGAUCCGCGCUGCAUUAGCUAGUUGGUAAGGUAACGGCUUACCAAGGCAACGAUGCAUAGCCGACCUGAGAGGGUGAUCGGCCACACUGGAACUGAGACACGGUCCAGACUCCUACGGGAGGCAGCAGUAGGGAAUCUUCCGCAAUGGGCGAAAGCCUGACGGAGCAACGCCGCGUGAGUGAUGAAGGUCUUCGGAUCGUAAAACUCUGUUAUUAGGGAAGAACAUAUAUGUAAGUAACUGUGCACAUCUUGACGGUACCUAAUCAGAAAGCCACGGCUAACUACGUGCCAGCAGCCGCGGUAAUACGUAGGUGGCAAGCGUUAUCCGGAAUUAUUGGGCGUAAAGCGCGCGUAGGCGGUUUUUUAAGUCUGAUGUGAAAGCCCACGGCUCAACCGUGGAGGGUCAUUGGAAACUGGAAAACUUGAGUGCAGAAGAGGAAAGUGGAGUUCCAUGUGUAGCGGUGAAAUGCGCAGAGAUAUGGAGGAACACCAGUGGCGAAGGCGACUUUCUGGUCUGUAACUGACGCUGAUGUGCGAAAGCGUGGGGAUCAAACAGGAUUAGAUACCCUGGUAGUCCACGCCGUAAACGAUGAGUGCUAAGUGUUAGGGGGUUUCCGCCCCUUAGUGCUGCAGCUAACGCAUUAAGCACUCCGCCUGGGGAGUACGACCGCAAGGUUGAAACUCAAAGGAAUUGACGGGGACCCGCACAAGCGGUGGAGCAUGUGGUUUAAUUCGAAGCAACGCGAAGAACCUUACCAAAUCUUGACAUCCUUUGACAACUCUAGAGAUAGAGCUUUCCCCUUCGGGGGACAAAGUGACAGGUGGUGCAUGGUUGUCGUCAGCUCGUGUCGUGAGAUGUUGGGUUAAGUCCCGCAACGAGCGCAACCCUUAAGCUUAGUUGCCAUCAUUAAGUUGGGCACUCUAAGUUGACUGCCGGUGACAAACCGGAGGAAGGUGGGGAUGACGUCAAAUCAUCAUGCCCCUUAUGAUUUGGGCUACACACGUGCUACAAUGGACAAUACAAAGGGCAGCGAAACCGCGAGGUCAAGCAAAUCCCAUAAAGUUGUUCUCAGUUCGGAUUGUAGUCUGCAACUCGACUACAUGAAGCUGGAAUCGCUAGUAAUCGUAGAUCAGCAUGCUACGGUGAAUACGUUCCCGGGUCU